UGGAACAUUUCAUCCUGCGGGGAAA
rnacentral:piRNA from 1 species